ensembl:lncRNA
GUUAGAAUUAGUUGGAGAGUUGAAUUUUAAUUUGAAAAUAGGUUACAAUAUCUGAAUCAUCUCUGUACUAUAUGUAACCUAGGAAUAAUCAGACUUACCAUCAAGACCUUUACACAUGUUUACUUAGCUUAGUCUAAGUAGUCUCUGCCCUGCCAAAUUUGCUGUUUCAUCAUGACGAUCAUGUCUAUUGUUCACUCAGUAUUUUAAUUAAUUCAUGUAUUUUUGUUACUCUAGGAUACAUGUUGGAACCGGAUCAAGAAAAAAGACCAGACAUCUAUCAAGUGUCUCACUUUGCCUUCAGAUUAGCUGGAAAGGAAUGUCCAGUGCCAAAUCUAUUUGUAAGUAUUUUUUCAUAGCUUAUACAGUAAUUAGAGCAUUUUAAAGCAUUGAGAAUGUUUUGAAGCAGUACUGGUAGAUUUGAGGUUUUGACUUUGUGUUUCUGAUGGCAGAACUCUCCCAUCCCCACCACGCUGCCGGAGCCACUAACAGCCAGUGACAUCGCUGCUAAGAAGAGCCUGACAAAAGCCAGGAUAACAGAGUCCGUAGGCCCCACGGAAACGUCCAUUGCUCCGAGGCAAAGGCCAAAAGCUGCCAACAGCAACGUCCUUCCACUGCCUAACUCAGUAACUCCAGUGAAAAUGACCGUUCCCUCUGGAACCGUCAGCAACGGCCAAAGUGGUAAUGCUCUGAUGUUUCUUGUUUAUUUCUCUUAUAUCUCACUUGUUCUGUAAGCUUUAGUGUAAUCUAUUUAUGCUCCUUUUAAACCUGUAAUAUGUCCAUUUGGCUUUUCUUCAGCCCAAGGGAACGGACAGCAGGCGACUGUGCCGAUACAGAGCAGCAAUCAGCAGAAGAGAGUUUUACAGCAGCUGCAGCCUGGAGACCUGAGACUCCAACUCCAACAACAACCACAACAACAACCACCACCUCAUCAUCAACACCAUCAACAACAACAACAUAACAUGCACCACCAGCAACAACUCAAUGCACAACAGCUGCAGUACAUGCAGUAUCAGGCCAUGCAGCAGAGCCUCCAGAUGCAGCAGCAGCAGCAUAUGCUCCACCAACAGAUGCUGAUGCAGCAGUCCAUGUAUCACCCGCAGCAGCAGCAGUACGCAGCCCUGGUGAGCACUCACACAGUCAGGCAGCAGCAGUGGGCCCAGUCGGCUGUGAAAGGCAGCGCUCCGGUGCCAACCGCCAGCCCGUUCAUUCAGUCUCUUAAAGGGAGCAGAUACCAGAUGCUGCAAAGUUGGUGGUGAACACCUAAAUGUGUUCUAGACAGAGAGUACAUAGGCAUCAGUAUUCCUCAGCUGCAAAAUGCCAUAGCUUUUCUAACACAUUAAAUCAUCCAAUUUACAGUGCUUUAUCUGGGACUUGAAAAUACACCAGCCAAUCAUUUCGUGUGCACUUGUUUUUCAACACUUUCUGUCUAGUAAAGUGGUCUUAAAAGAGCAACCUAUAGAGCCAUUUGAUUCUUUCAUCCACGCUUCAUUUUCCUCCAAACUGUCGACACACCAUUACUGUGCUGAAGACUCUCACCCUCUCGUUUUUUUCAUUUACUCGCUCUUUCUCUCUUACACACACACACACACACACAUACCCACAGUUAAACUCGGUAUUUCAGUUUACAUUUAUACAUUUAUACAUUUAUAAUAUUCUAAUUUUAAAAGCAUUAAAACAAACCUGAGACAUUAUAAUACAAGAAAAAGCUCUGGUAUAAAUCUAGUCUGCCAGGCAUAAACCACAAUACACUGUUAUUACUAUUACUAUUACUAAUUUAAAAAAAGAAUCAUUAUCUUAAUUAUGGUUAAUCACAGAAUUGUAUAUUUGAGUUUGUUUGUUUAAGGAAAAAUGCAUUAAAAAAAAAAAAAACUUAAGGGACAACUUGGAUGUGUUUUUUUUUGUUGCAUUUCCAAAGUAUUGGAUCAGG